ACCUUCAUGUCUCAGACUAAGCCAUGCACGUCUAAGUACAAACUAAAUGAUGGUGAAACUGCAAAUGGCUCAUUACAACGGUUAUGAUGUACCCGGGAGUUCCGAUGGAUAUUUCCAGUAACACUAGAACUAAUACAUGUCCCUGCGUUUAUUAGUUUCGCACAGUCCGUCGCUGAGUCAUGGUAAACAGUUGAUCGACUCGACGUCCCGGAACAGUUUCCGCCCCAUCAGCUUCGAUGGUUGGGUAUUGGCCUACCAUUGCAACAACGGGUAACGAGGAAUUAGGGUUUGAUUUCGGAGAGGGAGCCUGAGAAACGGCUACCACAUCUACGGAUGGCAGCAGGCGCGCAAAUUACCCAAUGCAGACACUGUGAGGUAGUGACGAGAAAUAAUAAAGCGGGACUUCUGUUUCGCUAUUAUAAUGAGGAAUAACCAAAGGUCAUUCCGAUUAGCAACUGAUGGGAAAGUCUGGUGCCAGCAGCCGCGGUAAUACCAGCGUC
rnacentral:rRNA from 1 species